AUUGAACGCUGGCGGCAGGCCUAACACAUGCAAGUCGAGCGGAUGGAGGGAGCUUGCUCCUGGAUUCAGCGGCGGACGGGUGAGUAAUGCCUAGGAAUCUGCCUGGUAGUGGGGGAUAACGUCCGGAAACGGGCGCUAAUACCGCAUACGCCCUGAGGGAGAAAGUGGGGGAUCUUCGGACCUCACGCUAUCAGAUGAGCCUAGGUCGGAUUAGCUAGUUGGUGGGGUAAAGGCCUACCAAGGCGACGAUCCGUAACUGGUCUGAGAGGAUGAUCAGUCACACUGGAACUGAGACACGGUCCAGACUCCUACGGGAGGCAGCAGUGGGGAAUAUUGGACAAUGGGCGAAAGCCUGAUCCAGCCAUGCCGCGUGUGUGAAGAAGGUCUUCGGAUUGUAAAGCACUUUAAGUUGGGAGGAAGGGCAGUAAGUUAAUACCUUGCUGUUUUGACGUUACCAACAGAAUAAGCACCGGCUAACUUCGUG
rnacentral:rRNA from 1 species